GAUGAAAUGGCCGAGCGGUCUAAGGUGCCAGACUGGGGACCAGGGCAGUUUCUGUUCACCUCUUCUCUCACUUCCUCUCUUGGGAUCAGGUAUCUGGUCCUCUGGGACGUGGGUUCGAAUCCCACUCUCAUCA